UACGUAGGCAGCGAGCGUUGUUCGGAAUUACUGGGCGUAAAGAGUGUGUAGGCGGUGCUCUAAGUUCGGUGUGAAAUCUCCUGGCUCAACUGGGAGGGUGCGCCGGAAACUGGAGUGCUUGAGCGUGGGGAGAGGAAAGCGGAAUUCCCGGUGUAGCGGUGAAAUGCGUAGAGAUCGGGAGGAACACCCGUGGCGAAGGCGGCCAUCUGGACCAGUACUGACGCUGAGGCACGAAAGCGUGGGGAGCAAACAGG
rnacentral:rRNA from 1 species